rnacentral:rRNA from 1 species
AUACGUAGGGUGCGAGCGUUGUCCGGAAUUACUGGGCGUAAAGAGCUCGUAGGUGGUUUGUCGCGUCGUCUGUGAAAUUCCGGGGCUUAACUCCGGGCGUGCAGGCGAUACGGGCAUAACUUGAGUACUGUAGGGGAGACUGGAAUUCCUGGUGUAGCGGUGAAAUGCGCAGAUAUCAGGAGGAACACCGGUGGCGAAGGCGGGUCUCUGGCGAGUAACUGACGCUGAGGAGCGAAAGCAGGGGUAGCGAACAGGAUGAGAUACCCUGGUAGUCCAUGCCGUAAACGGUGGGCGCUAGGUGUAGGGGUCUUCCACGACUUCUGUGCCGUAGCUAACGCAUUAAGCGCCCCGCCUGGGGAGUACGGCCGCAAGGCUAAAACUCAAAUGAAUUGACGGGG